rnacentral:rRNA from 1 species
GCAGCCAUGCCGCGUGUGUGAAGAAGGCCUUCGGGUUGUAAAGCACUUUCAGGAGGAGGAAAGGUUACUGGCUAAUAUCCAGUAGCUGUGACGUUACUCGCAGAAGAAGCACCGGCUAACUUCGUGCCAGCAGCCGCGGUAAUACGAGGGGUGCAAGCGUUAAUCGGAAUUACUUUUUCUUAAAGCGUACGCAGGCGGUUUGUUAAGCGAGAUGUGAAAGCCCCGGGCUCAACCUGGGAACUGCAUUUCGAACUGGCAAACUAGAGUCUUGUAGAGGGGGGUAGAAUUUCAGGUGUAGCGGUGAAAUGCGUAGAGAUCUGAAGGAAUACCGGUGGCGAAGGCGGCCCCCUGGACAAAGACUGACGCUCAGGUACGAAAGCGUGGGGAGCAAACAGGAUUAGAUACCCUGGUAGUCCACGCCGUAAACGAUGUCUACUCGGAGUUGAGUGUCUUGAACACUGGGCUCUCAAGCUAACGCAUUAAGUAGACCGCCUGGGGAGUACGGCCGCAAGGUUAAAACUCAAAUGAAUUGACGGGGGCCCGCACAAGCGGUGGAGCAUGUGGUUUAAUUCGAUGCAACGCGAAGAACCUUACCUACUCUUGACAUCCUCAGAACUUCCAGAGA